GACGUAGGUGGCGAACGUUAUCCGGAAUUAUUGGGCGUAAAGAGCUCGUAGGCGGUUUGUCGCGUCUGCUGUGAAAACUCAGGGCUUAACUCUGAGCUUGCAGUGGGUACGGGCAGACUAGAGUGCGGUAGGGGAGACUGGAAUUCCUGGUGUAGCGGUGAAAUGCGCAGAUAUCAGGAGGAACACCGGUGGCGAAGGCGGGUCUCUGGGCCGUAACUGACGCUGAGGAGCGAAAGCAUGGGGAGCGAACAGG
rnacentral:rRNA from 1 species